GAUGAACGCUGGCGGCGUGCCUAAUACAUGCAAGUCGAGCGAACGGACGAGAAGCUUGCUUCUCUGAUGUUAGCGGCGGACGGGUGAGUAACACGUGGAUAACCUACCUAUAAGACUGGGAUAACUUCGGGAAACCUGAUCUAAUACCGGAUGAUAUUUUGAACCGCAUGGUUCAAAAGUGAAAGACGGUCUUGCUGUCACUUAUAGAUGGAUCCGCGCUGCAUUAGCUAGUUGGUAAGGUAACGGCUUACCAAGGCAACGAUGCAUAGCCGACCUGAGAGGGUGAUCGGCCACACUGGAACUGAGACACGGUCCAGACUCCUACGGGAGGCAGCAGUAGGGAAUCUUCCGCACUGGGCGAAAGCCUGACGGAGCAACGCCGCGUGAGUGCUGAAGGUCUUCGGAUCGUAAAACUCUGCUAUUAGGGAAGAACAUAUGUGUAAGUAACUGUGCGCAUCUUGACGGUACCUAAUCAGAAAGCCACGGCUAACUACGUG
rnacentral:rRNA from 1 species